UAUAUAUAUAUAUAAUUAGCCUACUCUUGAGCUUCUUUCUAGUCCUUGGAAAAAGGAAACAAAGCGUAUUUCUUUUUCGCUCCAUGCAUUGCAGACUUGCAGAUUUUGUUUUCCUUUUCAUGAACCCCCAACCAAGGCCAAUCCGGAGUAAGAAGAUGACAACACUUUACCCUCCUGGCAUUCAUCACUUGACAUGGGACAGGCUUCUUCCGAAGGGAAAGAAAGAGAAAAGUGGUUUAUUCCACUUGAAAAGGACCAAACCAAACCUGUUCAAGCAGUUUCCAUUCUAGUUGCACCACCUUCGGCAAACAGUGCUCAGAGCAGUUUGCAGAAAGUUACCGCUUCAGACAGAUAGGAGAACCACUUCCAAGAAAUGUUACAUUAAAGGAAAUCGUUAAUACUCUGCCGGAAAAUAUAAAUUUUCCAAGAGCUGACUGUAUCAUGCAUCUUACUAAUUUAUGUUCUUUGUCCUGAACAUGGUCAAUUAUUUUAAGAUUUUUCCAUUCUAGUUUUAGGAUUUGUUCACAAGUUUAGUUUUCAUAAAACAUUGUACACCAUUGGAUCAGUGGCAUCUAUUGAGCCAAGGUGUUAAAUGAUGCUGGAUUUCCAAUACCAAUUUUGAUAACA